rnacentral:rRNA from 1 species
UGUAAGCGUAUACCAAAGUUGUUGCAGUUAAAACGCUCGUAGUCGGAUUUUGGCAGUUCCGGAAGUGUGCACGUCGUGUGCGCACUUUGCGGGGACUGCUUUUGUGGUCUUGCGUAGGAUGAGGCACUUUCAUUAGUGAACGUCCUCACGCAACCACUCUUUACUGUGAGAAAAUCAGAGUGCUCAAAGCAGGCAUUUGCCGUGAAUGUAUUAGCAUGGAAUAAUAGAAUAGGACUCGGUUCUAUUUUGUUGGUUUGUUGGGACUGAGUAAUGAUUAAGAGGGACAGUUGGGGGCAUUUGUAUUCCGGCGCUAGAGGUGAAAUUCUUAGAUUGCCGGAAGACAAACUGCUGCGAAAGCGUCUGCCAAGGAUGUUUUCAUUGA